CCCAGUUGUCUUCUCCACACCACAGACAGUGACAACCUAACGACGACGUCUGUCGAGGUUAACAUCGCCGUUACUGGCUUUAAACGCAAGUAGACAAAAGCACAGUUGUGUGUGUUUCUUGCUUAACUCGUUGUAUAUCUUAAACAAAGCGGUCUACCAAUCACGAUGACUAAACAAAUACGGUUGUACCUAGCUGUCGUCUGCUUGCUGCUUUCCAUAAACCUGGAAGCCGGAUACAUCCACCACCACCGACACCGUCGGGCUGAACAACGACCAUGCAACGAGAUCGGCCAGUCAUGUGCAGCGUUACCUUGUUGCGGUUCAGAUGUUCAAUGCGACAAAAAUCAGAUCUGCCGGCACUAUGUCAGACGGAGGUAGAUGGACGGACCUUCUCAGAAUACAAACGGACUAAUGUCACCUGCUACCAAUGAGUAUUGGAUGCUGGAUGUACCCAACAGUAACAACAACAGGGUGCGUCUGCCUACUGUCCGAUUCUGUGAUGUCAACUAAUAAUAGGAAGUCAUCGCACGAGUAUAAGAUCACCGAGUUCAAAGGUGUCUCUAAAUUUAUUGUAUUUUCAUGCAUUUAAAGGUUUUCACUGUAUUUCUCGAUUGCUGUGUUUGUUCAAGAAAUUCAACAAUAAAAUAAAUUUCUACUAAAAGCAAA